UACGUAGGGGCCGAGCGUUGUCCGGAGUUAUUGGGCGUAAAGCGCGCGCAGGCGGCCUCGCGCGCCCGACGUGAAAGCCCCCGGCUUAACCGGGGAGGGUCGUUGGGGACGGCGGGGCUUGAGGGCGGGAGAGGUCGGUGGAAUUCCCGGUGUAGUGGUGAAAUGCGUAGAUAUCGGGAGGAACACCGGUGGCGAAGGCGGCGACCUGGGUUGACAUUGACGCUGAGGCGCGAAAGCGUGGGGAGCAAACAGG
rnacentral:rRNA from 1 species